UCCCAUAAAAAACCAAUCUAAUACUGAAUAUGACACAUUCUAGUACUACGAAUCUAGACAUUACUUGUAGUACUAAGAUGUGUCACAUCUAGUACUAGAUUCGUUUUUUU
rnacentral:misc_RNA from 1 species